rnacentral:lncRNA from 1 species
GUGCGCCCCUCUCUGCUCCUCUGCCGUGUCCCUGCUAGCGCCUGCCGUCAACCACCCGCCGUCCGAGCAGACACCGGGCGCCAGCAAACUACGUGGAGGCUAGCUAGAGGUGCCGGGGAUCCAGCCGCACGCAUCGCGUCCCUCGGCUGGCGUGAUUCACCACCGGAGGGCCGGUGAUUUCACGACAUUGGUGGUCGUCGCCGCGGGUCCGCGCUUCAACGUGAGCCCGUGCUCUCUCACGGCCAUCUGAUGUAAGUACCCCUUCCAAUCUUUGGUGGUGGGCCCAGCAUCGUGUAGGUCACCACUGGUAGAGGGAUUAGCGCCCGAUGCGUCGGAUUGAGAUUUGCCGGUGAUGCUCCGCCGUAUGGGAGCGGCUGUGCCGCUGCUCUGGCGCUGGCGGCUGGAGGUGGGAGAUUGUCCCUGCGCCGUCGAUUCGGAGAUAAGGGGUCAGGAUUGGAUCUCACAGGGGCUAGCUGUAAACGGUAGAUCUGAUAUCCUACGGCUCGAAGUAUACCGCGUUUCAUUAAACUGUAGCCGUCAGAUCUCGAUCCUGUGGACUGAAUCACGUACCGGUUCGGGGUGAAGAUAAUUUAAUCUAAGCCGCCAGUUUUGAUCCAACGGUCCUUAUUGAACAAUACCCCUUCGCCGUAGUGUUUUUGCAAAAGAGCCCUCUGUGAUUUGGUGAAUCAACCCGCCAUCCUUACGCAAUUGUUCUCUGUGUCUAGAAAUACUUACCCCGAGCCCCCUGUACUUUGCAGAAAAUGAGGCCCAGUCCAGAGCAUAAUAAAAUCAGGGAAAAUGAUUAUUAAAUAGAUUUUUAAAAGGAAAAUAAUUCCUAGAACUUCAAUAAUUCAUAGAAAAUUCAUCCUAACUCCAAAUUAAUCCAUUCCAGUUCCUAAAAUUUUGUAAUUUUAUUCUUUAUCACCUAGAGCCUCUGUUAUGUCAUGAAAACAGUAAGAAAUUUAUUUAUCACUUAAUCCUAUUUAAAGCACAUAAAAUCUUUGAAAAUGCAUAACUUAAAUUCUAUAACUCCAAAAAUUAUGAUUCUUGUUCCUAGAAUUUUAUUUUAAGGUGUAGAUUAUUACUGUGUAUUUUGUUUAUAUGUUUGGUGUAAUGUUAAUUUUCCCUAUAUCUUGUGCUUGUUUGUAUUGUGGCGAGUAGAAGAACCCGUUGCUGAGGAAUCCUGGUGAGCAGCAGGUUGAAGUAGCUGAGCAGGAGCUCAUUGAAGGCAAGUUGUGCCCUUGACCACUUUUUACCCAAUAAUGUUCUUUAAUAUCACUUAUCCAUGCAUAGGUUAAUUUUGAUGGGACCCAAUAGGUCACCCUAGAUUGUUUAUCUCAUUACCUUGUUUACCCCUGAAUCACUUGGGUAGUUUGCUAUUGCUUUAUAUGGUUUUGGGAUAAUCAUUUAUCACCUCUAUGUUCCAAUUCUUGUUGUUAUUCUGUUUAUGUUCAUGUUGUUAUCAUUAAUGUUAAUUGGAACAUAGAGCUUAACUUGAGAACCACGUGCCACCACAAGGGUUUAAUGGGACGCCCUUGGCUGAUUAACUAGGAAAGCUAGUGGAAGACUACCUUACCCGAAAGGGGCAAGGGCAGUAGGGGAGAGGUCAGUGCGGGGAGGUCCCUGGUUGAUUUUGCUGCGAUGGCGGUCAGCCAGGAACCCUGUACUGGAUCUUCCCAUAAACUGUAGCGGGGUUUCGGAAGCUAGUGGAACUUUGUAAAGGCCUCGUAGUGUUGCCCUGCCGCGCUUCCUAGGUAGAGGUGUAUGGGAUUCGCGACCCCUUGGCAGAUGGGUAACAUGACUUGUGGGUAAAGGGUACAACCUCUGCAGAGUGUAAAACUGGUAUACUAGCCGAGCUCACGGUCAUGAGCAGCUCAGGACUCUCUGAUGUUUAAAUUAUGGAACUUAAAUUCAAUUUUGUCAUUUGCAUUGCAUGGGUUUAUUAUUAAUUUUGUUCUAUUACUUUAUUUAAGGUUUGGUAUUUACUUACACUUAGUAAUUGCUAAUAAAAUUUUGACCAACUACUUAAAAGCAAUGCUCAGCUUUAACCAUUCUCUUUGAUAAGCCUUACACUCCAUGAGCUCCCACCUUUGGUGAGUUCAUGUCACAUUAUUCCCCACAACUUGUUGAGCGAUGAUCAUGUGUGAGCUCACCCUUGCUGUCUCACACCCCCCCACAGGAGAAGAGCAGGUGGUUCAGGAGGAGCCACAAGGCGAGGAGUAUGAUCUGAUCUAGGUGGCGUUUCCAGUCGACAUUGGCGCCGACGAUCCUUAGUUCGUUUUAUGUUUACACUUUUACUUUGUAAUAAGUCUUCCGCUAUGUAAUAAAUACUCUGAUGAUUUAUGACAUUUAUCUCUAUACACUCUGUUAUUAUAUGUGUUGUCUUCUUGGCGCAUGUAUGAGAUGCACCUGGCUUGUUCCUUAAAGCCAGGUGUGACAGAAGUGGUAUCAGAGGAAAUAUUGACUGUAGGACGAAACCUAGAUAGAAAUGGACAACCCUUACCUACUUAUCUUAUUCUGAUUCAUUCUACACUUACCUUACUCUGAUUCUUUCUAUACUUAUCUUGAUCCAGUCUCAUCUUCUACUGUUCCACUCUGAUCAUUCUUACCUUUUCUACUCCAAGACAAGACGGAUUUCACACCUUGGAAUCCCUACCCCUAUGACAUUCUUAAGAGUUAGGGAAGCCUAAGACAAAAUUAAAACUAUUUUCUCUAUUAAAAAAAUGUUGGUUGAUUGUGCUGAUGAUCAAUGCCUGAUUUGCUUCUUUGAUUGAUUGAAAUAGUAUAGACGGGCAUCUUAGCAUGUACCACCAUAAGGUAAUGAAUUAGCUUUAGUAGGUGACACACUUAGCUAAUAAAUCCCCCAAAGUAACAUGCUUCGUAAUCACUGCCUUGUCUACAAUCCUUUCUUUCGUACCCUAUGUUUCUAACCCAGAUGAGCUACCCCUAUAGUGUUAGAAGAGAACACUAUAGAUGUGAUCCUUGGUAUGUCGUGGUUAAGAAAGGUAAAGACAGUAUAUACACUGUGCUAAAGGAACCAUAGAACUCACCAGUUCCAAAGGAGAAAGAUUUGAAGUUGGAAUUGCAGUAACUACCGCCACCAAACUAGCGGCAUUCUUAGUCGAUGGGAAGUUUGUUGGUGACAACAUCCGUGUGGUUAAGGAUUUUCCGGAUGUCUUUCUAGAGGAGUUACCAGGGAUGCCACCAGAUACGGAAGUUGAGUUGGUCAUUAAUCCCUUAUCUAGGACUGCCCCUACUUUCAAACGGCCAUACAUGAUGUCUGAAGAAGAGUUAAAGGGACUGAAGAAGCAGUUAACGGAGUUACAAGAGGCUGGGUACAUUCGUUCGGAUUCUUCACCUUGGGGAGCACCGGUCUUGUUUGUACAGAAGAAGGAUGGAUCGCAGCGGAUGUGUGUGGAUUAUAGAUCUCUUAAUGAUGUUACGGUGAAGAACAAGUAUCUGUUGCCCCGUAUUGAAGAUUUAUUUGAUCAGAUGAGAGGUGCUAGAGUAUUUUCGAAGAUUGAUCUCCGAUCGGGUUACCAUCAGAUGAGGAUUAGACCAUCGGAUAUUCCUAAGACCGCAUUCUCGACUUGUUAUGGAUUAUAUGAGUUUACCGUUAUGUCGUUGGAUUAACCAAUGCACCAACUAUUUUAUGGAUCUGAAGAAUAAGGUGUUUAUGGAGUAUUUGGACAGAUUCGUCGUGGUGUUCAUCGAUGACAUUCUUAUCUAUUCUAAGAGUGAAAGUGAUCAUGAGAAACAUGUGAGAUUGGUGCUACAGAAGCUACGAGAUAAUCAACUCUACACUAAGUAUAGCAAAUGCGAGUUUUGGAUUGGUGAGGUGCCAUUCCUUGGACAUAUCAUUUCUAAUGGAGGAAUAUCAGUGGAUCCUGCUAAAGUCAAGGAGAUAGUGGUGUGGAGCAUACCCACUACAAGAUUCAGAGUUUCUCGGGACUUGUAGGAUAUUAUUGGAGAUUUAUUGAAGGAUUUUCUAAGAUUGCUAAGCCUAUGACCUCACUUCUGGAGAAGGGAAUAGAGUUUAAGUGAGAUGAGAAGUACCAAGAUAGCUUUGAUCGAUUAAAGAAGAGAUUGAUGUCACCACCAGUGUUGGUUAUGCCAGAUCUACAGAAAGGAUUUGACAUUUAUUGUGAUGCAUGUGGCCAAGGACUUGGAUGUGUGCUUAUGCAAGAUGGUCAUGUGAUCGCCUACGCGUCUCGUCAAUUGCGGAAACAUGAGUUAAACUACCCCACUCAUGACUCAGAACUGACAACCGUAGUGCAUGCGCUUAAGAUUUGGAGACAUUAUAUCAUGAGAAGUGCCAAGUAUACACGGAUCAUAAGACUUUGAAGAACAUAUUCAUACAGCAGGAUCUCAACCUUAGGCAACACCGUUGGUUGGAGCUUAUUAAGGAUUAUGAUUUGGAGAUUCACUAUUACCCGGGCAAGGCAAAUUUGGUUGCAGAUGCCUUGAGUCGCAAGGAGCAUGUUCAUUCAGCUAUUGUUGCCCAGCUACCUGAUGAGAUUGUUGAGGACUUCAGGAGACUUAACCUGGGGAUAGUUGCUCAUACUGAAGGAGUUACUAUUGAUGUGGAACCUACUUUGGAGCAAGAGAUCCGCAAAGGACAAAUUGGUGAUGCUAAAUAAAAGAGAUUAAGGAUCUGAUUACUGAAGGUCGAGUUCCGGAAUUUACGGAAGAUGAGCAAGGCACUGUAUGGUUCAAGGACAGAAUGUGUGUUCCUGAUAUUAAAAGCCUUCGAGAGACUAUUUUAAAGGGGGCCCAUGAUUCGGAUUAUUCUAUUCAUCCUGGUAGUACUAAGAUGUAUCAGGAUUUGAAGUGGAAGUAUUGGUGGUAUGGAUUGAAAAGAGAUGUGGCUGCACAUGUGGCUAUGUGCGAUGUAUGUCAAAGAGUUAGGGUCAAACACCAAAGGCCAGCAGGACUAUUGCACCCACUAAAGAUACCCGAGUGGAAGUGUGAAGAGAUUGGUAUGGAUUUCAUUACUGGAUUGCCUCACACCCAGAAAGGAUAUGAUGCUAUAUGGGUGAUUGUGGAUAGAUUGACUAAAGUGGCCCACUUUAUUCCUGUAAAGACUACCUAUAAAGGCUCUCAGCUGGCAGAGUAUAUAUGGCUCGGAUUGUGUCUCUACACGGUGUACCGAAGAAGAUCAUUUCGGAUAGAGGAUCACAGUUUACCUUCAGAUUUUGGAAGGGUUUUCAUGAGAAUAUGGAUACGAAGUUGAAUUUUAGUACGGCUUAUCACCCUCAGACUGAUGGACAGACUGAAAGGACUAAUCAAGUAUUGGAAGAUAUGUUGAGAGCAUGUGCCCUUCAGCAUGGAGGAAGUUGGGAUAAGAGUCUACCUUAUGCUGAGUUCUCAUAUAAUAAUGGUUACCAGGCCAGUCUGAAGAUGUCACCUUUUGAAGCUUUAUAUGGGAGGAAGUGCAGAACUCCUUUGUAUUGGGAUCAGACUGGUGAGAGACAAUUCUUUGGACCUGAACUUAUUCAAGAGGUAGAAGAAUAAGUCUGUAUAAUUCGGGAGAAAUUGAGGGUGGCUCAAACUAGGUAAAAGAGUUAUGCUGAUAAUAGAAGGAGGCCACUGGAAUUUGAAGAAGGAGAUUAUGUGUACCUCAAGGUGUCACCACUUCGUGGAAUGAGGAGAUUCAAAGUUAAGGGCAAAUUGUCCCCACGCUAUAUUGGACCAUUCUUGAUCUUUAGGCGAGUUGGGGAGAUGGCAUACCAACUUGAGUUACCGGAUAGUCUAUCAGAUGUGCAUAAUGUGUUCCACGUAUCUCAACUGAAGAAGUGUCUCCGUGUUCCCGAGGAACAGUUACCAAUGGAAGAGCUCAGUGUUCAAGGUGAUUUGACUUACACGGAGUACCCGAACAAGAUUUUGGAUACUUUGACUCGAGUUACAAGAAAUGAGGUGAUAAAGAUGUGUAAAGUACAAUGGAGUCACCACGGUGAAGAUGAAGCAACUUGGGAAAGAGAAGAAGAGCUUCGUAUAAAUUUUCCCCAUCUUUUUCCUAGUUCUUCUUAAAUCUCGAGGACGAGAUUAUUUUUAAGGGGGGUAGGAUUUGUGACACCCACUUUGUAAAUUGCUAGGAUAAUGCCAGUAGAGGAACAAUUUCUCCUUAUGUGAGUUUGACCUUUAUGUACCAUCACAUGUGAACACCAUAUUUAAAAACAAAUAACUGUUAAGAUAUAUGCUACCAAAACAUGCAUCAUGCUGGGUUUUCAUGUUGUGUGCAUUUUGUGACAACAUAAAAAAAAUGUGACAAGAAAUAUAUUAAAAAUCCCAAAAGUGGAAUUUAAGUUCUAAAGGAAAUUUAGAAUUUGAGAAAAGAGAAGAAAUACUAUACAAAUGAGAUAAAAUAGAUAUAUAAAAUAACUAGAUGUGGUUAUUUAAAUUUAACCUAAGUAUGAACUCCCCAAAUAUAAACUCAAAUUUUGAAUUUGAAUUUGAAAAGGAAAGAGAAAGAGGAAAGAAAAAUAGAAAUGAAAAAGGAAUUGAAAAAGGGAAAAUAAAAAUAAGGGAAAACCUCAUCUGGGCCAAAACCCAUUUGUCUCGGCCCACCAAACCCCGCAUGCGCCAGUCCACUACUGCCCUCAUCCACUGGUCGAUGGGGCCGCUCAGCAGACCAGCCAGCACUUCCUGUGUUUGCUUCACUGGCGCGUGGGCCCCUCCUAUCAAGUUUAUCCCCUUCCCCUGUCCGGUCCGGUGUUGAGCGAAUUCCUCCGUGGAUCUCUCCGGUCAUUCCGCCACCGCCUUGGUUGUUGGAUCGACCGAGUUUCUUGCCACCAAAUUCUGUGAAAUCCACUGCUCCAGUGAAUAACUACCGUGUCGGCUGCCUUCCCCAGUUCCCCUCCUCUCCAUUUCUCCCCUUCUGACCACCCAUGGCGCUCGGCACCCAGUGUCUCUGCUCACCCUUGGCGACCGAACAGGUGAACCACCCACUCCUUUCCGCCGUCCUCUAAGGGCCAUCCAGUUGCACCUACGCGUGAGCUCUCCCUUCAACACUCCAGUGCCCGAGCUCCCUCCCCUGUGGCCUCCGCUCGGUGCGCCCCUCUCUGCUCCUCUGCCGUGUCCCUGCUAGCGCCUGCCGUCAACCACCCGCCGUCCGAGCAGACACCGGGCGCCAGCAAACUACGUGGAGGCUAGCUAGAGGUGCCGGGGAUCCAGCCGCACGCAUCGCGUCCCUCGGCUGGCGUGAUUCACCACCGGAGGGCCGGUGAUUUCACGACAUUGGUGGUCGUCGCCGCGGGUCCGCGCUUCAACGUGAGCCCGUGCUCUCUCACGGCCAUCUGAUGUAAGUACCCCUUCCAAUCUUUGGUGGUGGGCCCAGCAUCGUGUAGGUCACCACUGGUAGAGGGAUUAGCGCCCGAUGCGUCGGAUUGAGAUUUGCCGGUGAUGCUCCGCCGUAUGGGAGCGGCUGUGCCGCUGCUCUGGCGCUGGCGGCUGGAGGUGGGAGAUUGUCCCUGCGCCGUCGAUUCGGAGAUAAGGGGUCAGGAUUGGAUCUCACAGGGGCUAGCUGUAAACGGUAGAUCUGAUAUCCUACGGCUCGAAGUAUACCGCGUUUCAUUAAACUGUAGCCGUCAGAUCUCGAUCCUGUGGACUGAAUCACGUACCGGUUCGGGGUGAAGAUAAUUUAAUCUAAGCCGCCAGUUUUGAUCCAACGGUCCUUAUUGAACAAUACCCCUUCGCCGUAGUGUUUUUGCAAAAGAGCCCUCUGUGAUUUGGUGAAUCAACCCGCCAUCCUUACGCAAUUGUUCUCUGUGUCUAGAAAUACUUACCCCGAGCCCCCUGUACUUUGCAGAAAAUGAGGCCCAGUCCAGAGCAUAAUAAAAUCAGGGAAAAUGAUUAUUAAAUAGAUUUUUAAUAGGAAAAUAAUUCCUAGAACUUCAAUAAUUCAUAGAAAAUUCAUCCUAACUCCAAAUUAAUCCAUUCCAGUUCCUAAAAUUUUGUAAUUUUAUUCUUUAUCACCUAGAGCCUCUGUUAUGUCAUGAAAACAGUAAGAAAUUUAUUUAUCACUUAAUCCUAUUUAAAGCACAUAAAAUCUUUGAAAAUGCAUAACUUAAAUUCUAUAACUCCAAAAAUUAUGAUUCUUGUUCCUAGAAUUUUAUUUUAAGGUGUAGAUUAUUACUGUGUAUUUUGUUUAUAUGUUUGGUGUAAUGUUAAUUUUCCCUAUAUCUUGUGCUUGUUUGUAUUGUGGCGAGUAGAAGAACCCGUUGCUGAGGAAUCCUGGUGAGCAGCAGGUUGAAGUAGCUGAGCAGGAGCUCAUUGAAGGCAAGUUGUGCCCUUGACCACUUUUUACCCAAUAAUGUUCUUUAAUAUCACUUAUCCAUGCAUAGGUUAAUUUUGAUGGGACCCAAUAGGUCACCCUAGAUUGUUUAUCUCAUUACCUUGUUUACCCCUGAAUCACUUGGGUAGUUUGCUAUUGCUUUAUAUGGUUUUGGGAUAAUCAUUUAUCACCUCUAUGUUCCAAUUCUUGUUGUUAUUCUGUUUAUGUUUAUGUUGUUAUCAUUAAUGUUAAUUGGAACAUAGAGCUUAACUUGAGAACCACGUGCCACCACAAGGGUUUAAUGGGACGCCCUUGGCUGAUUAACUAGGAAAGCUAGUGGAAGACUACCUUACCCGAAAGGGGCAAGGGCAGUAGGGGAGAGGUCAGUGCGGGGAGGUCCCUGGUUGAUUUUGCUGCGAUGGCGGUCAGCCAGGAACCCUGUACUGGAUCUUCCCAUAAACUGUAUCGGGUUUUCGGAAGCUAGUGGAACUUUGUAAAGGCCUCGUAGUGUUGCCCUGCCGCGCUUCCUAGGUAGAGGUGUAUGGGAUUCGCGACCCCUUGGCAGAUGGGUAACAUGACUUGUGGGUAAAGGGUACAACCUCUGCAGAGUGUAAAACUGGUAUACUAGCCGAGCUCACGGUCAUGAGCAGCUCAGGACUCUCUGAUGUUUAAAUUAUGGAACUUAAAUUCAAUUUUGUCAUUUGCAUUGCAUGGGUUUAUUAUUAAUUUUGUUCUAUUACUUUAUUUAAGGUUUGGUAUUUACUUACACUUAGUAAUUGCUAAUAAAAUUUUGACCAACUACUUAAAAGCAAUGCUCAGCUUUAACCAUUCUCUUUGAUAAGCCUUACACUCCAUGAGCUCCCACCUUUGGUGAGUUCAUGUCACAUUAUUCCCCACAACUUGUUGAGCGAUGAUCAUGUGUGAGCUCACCCUUGCUGUCUCACACCCCCCCACAGGAGAAGAGCAGGUGGUUCAGGAGGAGCCACAAGGCGAGGAGUAUGAUCUGAUCUAGGUGGCGUUUCCAGUCGACAUUGGCGCCGACGAUCCUUAGUUCGUUUUAUGUUUACACUUUUACUUUGUAAUAAGUCUUCCGCUAUGUAAUAAAUACUCUGAUGAUUUAUGACAUUUAUCUCUAUACACUCUGUUAUUAUAUGUGUUGUCUUCUUGGCGC